rnacentral:rRNA from 1 species
CAGCUAGUUGGUAAGGUAACGGCUUACCAAGGCGACGAUCGGUAGCUGGUGUGAGAGCACGACCAGCCACACGGGCACUGAGAUACGGGCCCGACUCCUACGGGAGGCAGCAGUAAGGAAUAUUGGUCAAUGGACGCAAGUCUGAACCAGCCAUGCCGCGUGCAGGAUGAAGGUCCUCUGGAUUGUAAACUGCUUUUAUCUGGGAAGAAACCCCCCGAUUCUUCGGGGGUUGACGGUACCAGAGGAAUAAGCACCGGCUAACUCCGUGCCAGCAGCCGCGGUAAUACGGAGGGUGCAAGCGUUAUCCGGAUUUACUGGGUUUAAAGGGUGCGUAGGCGGAUUGGAAAGUCAGUGGUGAAAUACUCCGACUUAAUCGGAGAACUGCCGUUGAUACUAUCAAUCUUGAAUGUGGUUGAGGCGGGCGGAAUGUGUCGUGUAUCUGUGA